CCCCACACUGGGGAUGGAGCCCGCAACCUGGGCAUGUGCCCUGAUGGAGAAUAGAUCUGUGACCUCCUAGUUCAUAGGUCUAUGCUUAACCACUGAGCUACGUUGGCCGGAGCAAAGAAUAAUCAAAACAAUUGUGAAAGAGAAGAACAAAGUUGGAGGCCUUAUGACCUGAUUUCAAGAUUAACUAGAAACCUCUGGUUAUUAGAAAUCAUGGGAUCAGCAAAAAGAUAAACAUAGAUCAAAGGAACAGAAGAGAAAGUUUGAAAUGAGAUACAUUUGGUCAGUUCAUGUUUAGCAAAGGUGCCAAGGUAAUUCAGUGAAUUAUAUGACAGACUCUUAUAACUCAAAAAUCACAAAAAAUAACUCAAUGAAAAUGGACAGAUGAAGAGACGCUUCACAAGAGAAGACAUAUGAGUGGUCACUAGACCCAUGCAAAGAUGCUCCAGUCAGUGGUCCUCAGGAAAUGCAAGUUAAGGCCACAAGUGAGACGCUACUACAAACCUGGUGCUACAGCCAACAUGAAAACGCAUCAAAAUACCACGUGCUGGGGUCUACCCAGGAGAAGUGAAAACACAUGUCCACAAAAAGACGAGCACAUGGAUGCUCGCCGCAGCUUUAGUCACAACAGCCCCAAAAGUGGAACAACCCAAUGUCCACUGACAGGGGCACGAAGAAGCAAAACCUCACAUCCACACAAUGCGAUACCCCAGAGCAGCAGAGAGAGAACAGACUGUUGAUGCGCGCAACCACAUCGAUGCAUCGAGAAAGUAUCAUCUGAGUGAGAGACACCAAGCAUGGAAGACUAUACACUGUAUGGCCUGUUUCUAGUAAAUUCGAGAAAACCACAGAGGCAGGUAGCAGACAGUGGCUGCCUGAGGUGGGUGGGUAUCUGGACUGGAUGCAAAGGGGCAUAAAGGGAAUUUGGGUGAUGGAAGUCAGUGUUCUAAAACUGGAUCAUGUGGGCUGGUUGUAGGCCAGUAGAGUAUAUAUGCAUUUAUCAAAACCCACUGAACUAUACACUUAAAGUAGGUCCAAUUUUUUUUUUAGUGUGUGAAUUUUCCUAUACAAUAAAAACCUAAUAUGCAAAUCAACAAACGGUGGAAUGACCGGUGGAACGACUGGUCACUAUGAUGUGCACUGGCCACCAGGGGGCAGAUGCUCAAUGCAGGAGCUGCCCCCAGCCGGCAGGCCCCAGGGUCCUCCCCACCCGGUCCUCCCCACCUGAUUGCCCUGCCAGUUGCCUCCCACAGACCAGCAGUGGCGGGGAGCGAGCAGGCAGGCGGUUAGGAGUGAGGAAUCUCAGAUUGCGAGAGGGCGCAGGCCAGGCUGAGGGACCCUUCCACCCCCGUGCAUGAAUUUCGUGCAUCAGGCCUCCAGUAACUCAAUAAAACAAAGUCUAACCUGG